GAUCCGCCCAGCGCCGAAUCCCCCGCCUUCGGCGGAGGGAACUGUGGCGUUUAGGAGUGAGCGUGCCGGGAUCGGACUGGACAGCAAGUCCCCCUGACCGGGGCCUAUCCAGAGCGGGUGCGAGGCCCAUAGCCGCCCGGUCCGUCCCGGAUGCGAUCUCCUUGGAGUCGGGUUGCUUGGGAGUGCAGCCCUAAUCGGGUGGUAAACUCCACCUAAGGCUAAAUACCGCCGUGAGACCGAUAGCAAACAAGUACCGUGAGGGAAAGUUGCAAAGAACUUUGAAGAGAGAGUUCAAGAGUACGUGAAACUGCUCAGAGGUAAACGGGUGGGCCCUCGAAAUCCUGUGGCGAGAGGAUUCAGUCUGGCGCGGCGGACGCGGUGGUCGGAAAGUUCGGAAGGGCUUCCCGGGACCGGGGCCGUCCGAUCGCGCGACUUCUGCUGCGCCCGACGCAUUUGUCUCUCGUCCGAAGGACGCUGCAGCCGGUUGGGAACCGCAAGCGUGACGGCCUGAAGGGCGGAAGCCGGCAGGUGGCCGGUGGCGUGCCUCGUGCGCGUCGCCGGUUGUUAGCCAUUCCGCCAGUGGCCCGUCUCCCGACCGAGGUGUCACCAGGCCCUUUGCGGCCUACGCGUCUCCUCCCCAGGAUGCGGGACGGACCGUCGCAGGCGAAGCCCGCUGUCCCGUCGCACUCCUCCGGAGUGGGCGGGCAAACGGGCGGCGUCGUUGGCGGCGGCGGGCCCGUGGGAGAUUGGAGGCUGGCAGCGAGUAGGUCGGUCACCCACCCGACCCGUCUUGAAACACGGACCAAGGAGUCUAACAUGUGCGCGAGUCAAUGGGUCUUGAAUAGGCCCAGGGGCGCAAUGAAAGCAAAGGCCGGCCCGCGCCGGCCGAGUUGGGAUCCCCGCCCUCCGUGGCGGGGCGCACCAACGACCCGUCCUAUCCGGCUCGCCGGUUGGGCGGAGUGUGAGCGUACACGUUGGGACCCGAAAGAUGGUGAACUAUGCCCGGACAGGACGAGGCCAGAGGAAACUCUGGUGGAGGUC
rnacentral:rRNA from 1 species